rnacentral:tmRNA from 1 species
GGGGAUGAAUCAGCAUCGACGACGAACCUUUCACCAUCAUGCAAGCCGAGGGCGUUGGUCACCUCGUAAAUCUCACCGACACAAUGACAACUGCCAACGUCAUUUCAAAAGUGAAGAACUUCAUCGCUUCGGUGAUGCAAGUUCCGACCUUUGCUCCGGCCCUCGCUUAAACGCGAUUGUUGCCGGACCGAUCCCCUCUUUGGCGUCUCAACGAAGAGGAUCGAUCGUCAUACAUUGAGGCUUGAUCUCGCAUCCGUUCUCGAUUGCGAGAUGACAGGCCACGAGAACUGGCGCUUCCAUGCCUCGUCCGUUCCCUGAAGGUGGCGUAAGAUUCCGCCGAAAGGCGGAUUGAGCGGUCUAAGCUUGUGAAUGAAUGCGGGUUGAGUUUCGCUCGGACGGGGGUGCGAUACCCCCCAUCUCCAUAG